UGUUUUGCAGCAAGAGACGGCGAAGAGGAGAAAAUGGAGAGAACUAAAUGAAGAGGACAUCUCAUCUUGAAAUGCUGACUAUGUUACGCUCAAAACAAAGGCUUUUGAGGUUGACAAGCCCCUUGGAGAUGCAACAAGGGAAGCAGAUUUUACUAUGGAGGUGCUUGGAAGCCUCCAAUCAUGUUCAAGGGCG